AGUGAACGCUGGCGGUAGGCCUAACACAUGCAAGUCGAACGGCAGCACAGUAAGAGCUUGCUCUUACGGGUGGCGAGUGGCGGACGGGUGAGGAAUACAUCGGAAUCUACUUUUUCGUGGGGGAUAACGUAGGGAAACUUACGCUAAUACCGCAUACGACCUACGGGUGAAAGCAGGGGAUCUUCGGACCUUGCGCGAUUGAAUGAGCCGAUGUCGGAUUAGCUAGUUGGCGGGGUAAAGGCCCACCAAGGCGACGAUCCGUAGCUGGUCUGAGAGGAUGAUCAGCCACACUGGAACUUGGGCAAGGUCCAGGCUCCUACGGGAGGCAGCAGUGGGGAAUAUUAGACAAUGGGCGGAAGCCUGAUCCAGCCAUACCGCGUGGGUGAAGGAGGCCUUCGGGUUGUAAAGCCCUUUUUUUGGGAAAGAAAAGCAGCAGGUUAAUACCCCGCUGUUCUGACGGUAACCAAAGAAUAAGCACCGGCUAACUUCGUG
rnacentral:rRNA from 1 species